rnacentral:lncRNA from 1 species
UCCAAACCAUACAAAACUUGCACCAAAACCAUAGCCAAAAAUCUGAAUUUUUUACCCUAGCCUUCAAAGCUCAAAUGGCCCUAAGAAUCUAACCCUAAUUCCUAAUAUGGCCUUGGGCAGCCUCCUCAAAGUCCAUUGGUCAUGAUUUUUGACCAAUAGGAAUGGAGAUUUUCAUCAUCCAUCUCCAUUCAUCUAUAUUGGUACCCUAAUUACU